GUGGGGAAUUUUGGACAAUGGGCGAAAGCCUGACGGAGCAAUGCCGCGUGAAGGAUGAAGGCCUAUGGGUUGUAAACUUCUUUUCUCAGAAAAGAAUUAUGACGGUAUCUGAGGAAUAAGCAUCGGCUAACUCUGUGCCAGCAGCCGCGGUAAGACAGAGGAUGCAAGCGUUAUCCGGAAUGAUUGGGCGUAAAGCGUCUGUAGGUUGUUUAAAAAGUAUUCUGUCAAAGAUUAGGGCUUAACCCUAGAUAGGCAGAAUAAACUUUUAAGCUAGAGUUUGGUAGAGGCAGAGGGAAUUCCCGGUGGAGCGGUGAAAUGCGUAGAUAUCGGGAGGAACACCAAAGGCGAAGGCACUCUGCUGGGCCAAUACUAACACUGAGAGACGAAAGCGAGGGGAGCAAAUGGGAUUAGAUACCCGAGUAGUCC
rnacentral:rRNA from 1 species